CAGAGGGUAGUUUAAAUAAAAUAUUAACAUUGGAAGUUAAAGAUUAAGUUGAAUACUUACCUUUUGA
rnacentral:tRNA from 1 species